rnacentral:misc_RNA from 1 species
GGUAUUGGAGAUCAAUGCAAAAAUCGAGGAGUAAAACAGUUCACUGAGUUACUGAGAGACUUUUCUGGUUCUCCAGGAUAUUGCCUGGAAGUUGGUGGUGGAACAUGGGAUUCCUGGUUUAUGCCUCUCGAGGAACAGAUGGGUAUUGUUUGUAACAAGGUUAAAGAAAUGAAAGAAUUAAGGGAGGGUUACAACAUAGUUGGUCUCUCACAGGUGAUCUAUAAUGGUUUUAUUGUUUUCACAUUGCACAUGUAUGUUUUGGAGCAUGCUUGCUCUUAAAUGUUCAUUUAAUUUACUUAGUUAAGAGAUAUCUUGGUUGGUUAUAUUUUUAGCAUUUCCAUUGCAAUUAGCUAUGUAACCUUUUUCAUGUAAAUUAUUUUUAUUGUAGUAUUUCAUGAGCCAUAAUGACUAAUGAGCAUUGCAUUAGCGAGAAAGCUUAUCAUUUUGUGAAGUCCAUUCAUGUGGCUGUACUUUUUCUCUUUAAAGAAUUUGAUCAUGCCUAAGAGGACUACACUCAUUUAGAGUGUUGGAUAAAUUUAAGAAUCCAUCAUGCAUCUCUCCUUUGCGAUGGAAUGAUAAAUGAAGUAAUGAUAAUCAAUCAUCUCAUUUGGUUAUAUAUUUUUUUCCCUGCCAUUCAGUUUAUCUGUGAUGUUCUGUGCUUAAGAUACUAGGUCUUUAUUUUUUUUUAGUUUCUUUUUGCCCUAAAUUUCUUUUGGUUGGACAGGGGUUUUAGGGGCCUAGGAGGUGGCCUUCUCUUAUCUCUCUGCUUUAAUCAGAUCAUUCUUCUCCAGGACUUCGCCUUUCUCCUUCUGUUAAUUGUUCUCACUUCCAUGAAUUGUUUGUCAUCUUAUUAAAUAUUCUAUCAGUUACGUCCAGCCUUUCCAACGAGAUGUCAAAAUUUUUUCUACUUGUCAUAGGUUCAUGAUACAAUUCAAAUGGUUCUGGCCAUCAUGGAUAUGUCACAUUUCAGCUACUUUUAUGUGUGGAUUUGCAAAUUUAUGUUGUCGUGAAAAAUCUACCUUAACUUGGAAGUACGCUGUUGCAUUGUUCAUUAUAUGAAUAUGUUGAUUGCACAAUUUAUACCCCUUUUUCAUGAAAAAAUAGAUUAACAUAAAUAAAUUUUAAAAAUAAAAUAAAAUAAAAUCAAGAAGUAUGUUACCCCAGUUUGCAUUCAUUAUUCUUUCAUAUGCUAGACUGUGUUGUUGGCUAUCAGAGUAGGUAAAAUCCAGUGAUUAGGCAAUUCAUUUAAAUGGUUCUGAUUCAUUUUUUUUUUCUUUCGCUUCUUUUGAUUUAUCAGGGCAACUUAAUUGGCCGAGGUGUGCUAGAGUUUUGUGAGGGUGGACCUCCUGUUAAGAAUUUCAUAUCCUUAGGGGGACCUCAUGCUGGUACUGCUUCUGUUCCUCUUUGUGGUGCAUUAGGAAAAACCAUCUACAUUAGAUCGUGGCUAUCUAUUCUAAAUAUAAGUUCUUGCACUUGAGUCAUAAAUUUCAUAAUAAUGGGGACCAUUGAACUCUAGAACUUGCAACCAAAAGGCUCCAAGUUCAAUUCUUGAGAACAGCCCCUUCAUGCUAAGGUACUCAAUGUAAAAUCCUUUCUCGGGUUUCUGCUUCAUUGACCAUAUCUAGAUAAUUGCUUUCUAUAGAAAUACUAUUAUGAACUGUUUUACAUAAAUUUUUGUUCACACCAUUCUUUGUUCUGACUGAUAUUCUUAAAGUAAUUCUCUUUUGCAGUCAGGCAUUUUCUGCAUAAUCGCAAACAACCUAAUCAAGUCAGAGAUCUAUAGUGACUAUGUACAGGAUCACCUGGCUCCUGCUGGCUAUCUCAAAUUCCCCAAUGUGAGUGCGAUACAUAUCUAUUAAAGCAAAAAUGUUCCGAAGAGGUUCCUUUAUCCUUAGUGCUAUUUUUUUCUAAGAGCAUUAUAAUCACAAAAUCACACAGAAAUCUAAAGCUUGAAUUGACCCCUUGGGAAUUGAUUUAUCAAAAUAAUGAAUGUAGCGGUUGAAACAAACUUGUCAUAAAUCUCACCUUCAGCUUUUAUCCAUAAAAUAAGUUGUAUAAGAAGUUCAUCUAGGAAAAUUUCCAGUUUUAUCGUCUUUAUUUACUGCCACGGCAACAGUAGCUUGACAUCCUAGCGUGAGAAUUAUUUCCCAAUUGUUAGGAUGUCCCUCACUACUUGGAAAAGUGUAAGUUUCUUCCUAAGCUCAACAAUGAACUUCCUGAAGAGAGAAACUCAAUUUACAAGGAAAGAUUCACUAGCUUGCAGAAUUUGGUGCUUAUCAUGGUGAGGAGGAUAUUUCCUUAUCUUAUUGUAACGUCACCGGUCCUGAUCACAUUUUUUUAUUUUGAAGUAUGCUAAUGUAUUUUUUUAUUCUCCAUGUCAUUAUUGAAUUCCAACAGUUUGAGAAUGACAAUGUUUUGAUACCUAAGGAAACCUCUUGGUUUGGUUAUUAUCCAGAUGGAUCUUUUAAGACAGUUUUGACUGCUGAACAGGUACGGUUUUUAUUUUGAAACAAAUUGUUGAAUCCAAAUCUGUUUGCUCUAAAUCUUGAUACAAGUUUCUUAGUAUAUUCCAGAAAAAGGAAAAUUGAACAAGGAGAAUUUUUCUUCACUUGUUCAUUUCUAUGAUGCAGACAAAGCUUUACUCUGAGGAUUGGAUUGGUCUCAAGGCCUUAGAUGAGGCUGGAAGAGUUCAUUUUGUAAAUGUGUCAGGGGGCCAUCUCGGAAUAUCCGAAAGUGACAUGAAAAAGCAUGUUGUGCCUUACUUGGUGGAUCAACAAUCGGUAAGGAGGGUUAGCAAAGCUGGGUUGCAGGGACUUCCCCGUAGAAUCACGCCAAACAAAAAGAGAGAACAAGAUGUGGAAGGAUUCAGCGGCACAAAAUCAUCUGAAGAGAUACUACAUGGAUCAUCAUCAUAUCAGUGGCCCUCAUCAGUGACAGGUUUUUUCAUGGAGCUUGUUGGGCUCGCAGUGACAGAGGAGAAUGCUCCCGAUAAAUUGUGAAUUGGAACAUCAGCUGCUUCAGUAAUUUCCGCUGGGUGGAAUCAAUAAGUAUAGUAAUCCCGUAUUCUUCUGUGCUUUAUACUUGCCAUUGCUUAUCAAAACCUCUGGCUGUCACUUAUGGCUAUUGUUGAAAUCGAACUCAACUCUACAGGAAAAGCUAUAAGGAUUAGUAUCGUGGAUUACCACAAUGAUUCAUUAUUUAUAUAAGUGUUUCUCAAACUGGCGUUUACCCUAUGCUUGAAAGCCAUGAGUACUGAUCAGCAGCUCAACUCGUUUUUCAACCGCACAAACUGGGCUAUGCGCGACUGAUUAGCAUCCAACGAUGUCAGAAAGUAUAAGGCAUAUGAAACAAAUUUUUCUCACGAAAUGCAUUAAAUGAAACAUCAUGAUUGUUUUUCUUACACUAAUGAUUCAAGACGCGAAGUUGAUUUACAAUGGGUCAUGGAAAUGGAGUUUCAGCGCCAUAUCAUCAAACAUUAUUCAUCAUUUAUAUACGGAUAGGAAAAUUUGGAACGGAAAGAAAACUCAUCAAACCAUUUGUAUGCAAUUUCACCCGCCUCUCAGUAGACAUGAAUAUCUACACUAAUACCUCCCAAAUGAUUGGCCUGGAUUGAGCAGCUGUUCUUUGUGCUUAGUUGCUCUCCCAAAAUCUUUUGGUGAGUAUGGCAGCGGAACCACAGACAUGAACAGGAUAUUCUUGCCAAUGCUGCUUGACCAGCAACUCGAACUCGAUAGACCACACUUAGAUCAGCCAAUAUCUCUCUUCUCACAGUAUCUGACUCAUGUGCGGGGUCAUACCCAUCAAGAUCUGCCUCUGUAACGAUAACUACAGAACCAUCAUCAAAGGCCACAAUAUCCUGGGAUCGUGCUGGCCUUGGGGUCUUCAAGAUGAGAUCAGUUGUGUUAAUGUGAGCACUUCUUCUCAGCUUAAGAUUAUAGUAUUCCAGAACAGCCUGCCACUGAGCAGGUGCUAGAAGCACCCUUGGCCUGAUUGACUUGACAUGAUCAUAUGCAGCUUCAGGUGUCAUCUGUUUGUGUUGCACCAGGUAACAAAGAACAAUGGUUGUACUGCGCCCCCGACCAGCCUUACAAUGAACAUAUGUAGUA